UAUUGCGAUCAAUUGAUGAGAACGUAGAUGAGCAAGAAGAGGAUGAAAAAGAAGUGGUGGAUGAGUCGACAGAGACUCUUUGUUUCUCUUUCACGGCGUCCUUCAGAUCUUUCUCCUGCAAUUUCAAGAUUAAGGGAAAGCCAAAUAGAAAUUAGAAGAAUCACAGAUCUUAUAUGAUGAAGGAAAGGAACAAACAUGUGCACCCUCCUAAAAUUGGGAAGUUAAUGCUUGUUUUGGUGCCAAAUUGUGCCCAAGAAUUUGCUUGAGACGCCGCCUAAACGGGUAACAGCCCAACAACACAGGUCAUUGCAGGUGGGACUACUCAAAACACCUAUGUUCAAUAUGACUAGUGCUCACAGCUGUGGCAGUUUUUUAUUGUCCAGAAGUUGGUGUGAAGUGUGAAAAAGAAAGAAAUGUAUGAACUCACAGGUAGCAUUCCAAUUCCAUACCCUUUACUAAUUUUGCCUUGUCUUUUAAGUAUUACUUUGAGGAUUUUUCUUGUGUUUCCUGGGAAAUUGAUCCCACUAAGGAACUCUUAUUUUAUUAAGUAGUCAAAAGUUUAUUAUUUUCAGGUUAACACAUGUUAUUAACUUAUUGUACACUCUCAAUUGGGGAAUAGAAUGGAGUUCAAAUUAGAAAGCGGGUUGCGCGCUGUUUUAUCAUGAUACAGGGAAGAGGAAUAUACAAGGCAAUUUACUGAAUUGAAACAUAGAAGUUUCUAGUAUGGCUGCUGUAUUUGAAGGGGCUUUAGGUUGUAAUUAUUGGAAAAUGAUAUAUAUUUAAAAAAAAAAAGAAAAAAAAAAAAAAACAGCUGUUAUGGUUGCUGUUUCAAAGACAUAUGGCUCCCCACCACAUCAUGCGUUGUUGAAAAUUGCUUUCCUCCCACAGGUCAUGAUUUCAUGCUUUGUCGGUUAUAUUUUGCUUCUCAUAAUCCAUGAUAUAUAAAACAAUAAUUUUGAGGAUCCUUUGGACAUGAUAUAUUUGCAUAAUUUAGAACUUAAUGUGUCUUCUUGUUAAUCAGCAGUAGAUACAAUACCCACAUGAUUAACAAGUUGUUGCUGAUGAUAUGUAAUAAUAUGAAAUAAUGAGCUUCACUUAUUCCCCGCAUCCACUUCCCUAGUCUAUGUGUGACCGUGUGUCAAAAUCUAGAAAUAUGAUAUUAUGACAUGAAAUAUAAUUUAACACGAGUGUCUCAACCAGAGAAUGUGUAUAGUAUUCUCAUGCAUAUAUGUUGAUUGCAAUCUAGUGAUGUGAACUUAUAGCUAAUACCUGCCAAUAUUGAAUCCAAAUGAAAAGAACAAACUUAGUGCACGAGGCUGUCUUGUCUCAUACGGGUGAAAUUAUUUACAGAGUAAUGCUAUACAGGCUGGUUCUACUUUUAUACUAUCUUCUUAUUUAUGACCAAGGUAUUGUAGUACAAUUAUUUCUUCAAAUAACUGUAGCAUUCAAUGCAUUAAGAGAAUAAUGCCUACGAUGGCAUAUUGGAAAUGAAAAGAUAUAUAUAUAUAUAUUCCUUGCAUGCAUGGGAAGGUAUCUGUGUACGUAUAUUGUACAUUUUGCAUACAUUUUAUGUAUGCGAGUGUAUAUAUUGGGUAAGUUAUAUAUGUGGCUAAUUUAACUAAUAUCCCAUAAUACAUUAAAAAUUUGUGGGGUUGAUUGUGAUGGUUGAGAUUGUGAUUAUACAGGGGGGGUGCAUGGGCACGUGAUAAAGUAAAGAGAUUGCAUGAGGGAUGACUUAGUUGUUGCACUAGGCAAGGACCAACCUUAGCUAUAACCUAUAAUCCUAUACUAUGUAUCAACCCACCACCCACCCAAUCCCCAUUAUUCACACAUCAUUGUCCCCACUUUCCUCCCACCAAAUUACCAUGUGCAUUAACACACAGUAUAAUAAUUGGUACUUGUGCAAGUCAAUUCUAAACGGUAUUAUCCCAAAUUGUUUACUUAAUCAUAUGAAGAAUAGUAUUAAUAUUAUCCAUAAACUAUUCACAUUCGCAAGUUCCAAAAAGGAUUCAACAUUGUGUGGCCAUCAAACAAAGACUAGAUUGGGGGGAUGGACCUUUCAAUUCUAGUAGACUAGUAGAUCUAAAGUUUGAGAGAAAUUUUUACAUGGUGUUGAUAAAUCACAUGUAAAAAAAAUAUGUCAAUUUUAUUUACGUGUUAGGUUAUAAUUAAUUAUAAUUAUGUAGUAUCGAGAGAUGUAAUAAUUUCUCUUAAAUUUUGGUUGCUGGAAAACCGAU